CUCCUUCUCCUCGUGCCUCCCAGAACCUUCCAGUCUGAAGAUCCUGCACGCGCUGUCAAAAUGAUGGGCCAGCAGGUUUUAGUGCUCAACCAGAACAUGAAGAGGGAGUCGGGCCGUAAGGUCCAGACGGGGAACAUCGGCGCCGCCAAGACGAUCGCUGAUGUGAUCCGGACUUGCCUCGGCCCGCGGGCCAUGAUGAAGGUCAGCCUGCAGAGCACUCACUCUAACACACACUUCAAUAUGACCCAG